UGCCACAUAGGGGCGAGCGGAGAAGGUAGUAUGUAGGGUGUGAUAGUUGACCGGAAGAACGGGUCGUAAUGAGCGCGUAGGGGGUUUGUCACGGUGGGCGUGGUAACUCGCGGCUUAAGUGGGGGCGGGCUGGCGAUAAGGUGAGACUUGAGUACUGCAGGGGAGACUGGAAUUCCUGGGGUAGCGGUGGAAUGCGUAGAUAUCAGGGGGAACACCGGUGGCGAAGGCGGGUCUCUGGGCAGUAACUGACGCUGAGGAGCGAAAGCGUGGGGAGCGAACAGGAUUAGAUACCCCGGUAGUC
rnacentral:rRNA from 1 species